GAUAAGCCAUGCGAGUCAACGUAGCAAUACGUGGCAUACGGCUCAGUAACACGUAGUCAACAUGCCCAGGGGACGUGGAUAACCUCGGGAAACUGAGGCUAAACCGCGAUAGGUCAAGAUUCCUGGAAUGGAUCAUGGCCCAAAUCUAUAUGGCCCCUGGAUUGGACUGCGGCCGAUCAGGCUGUUGGUGGGGUAAUGGCCCACCAAACCUGUNACCGGUACGGGCUCUGAGAGGAGGAGCCCGGAGAUGGGCACUUAGACAAGGGCCCAGGCCCUAUGGGGCGCAGCAGGCGCGAAACCUCUGCAAUAAGCGAAAGCUUGACAGGGUUACUCUGAGUGAUUUCCGCUAAGGAAGUCUUUUGGCACCUCUUAAAAUGGUGCAGAAUAAAGGGGUGGGCAA
rnacentral:rRNA from 1 species